UACGUAGGGUGCAAGCGUUAAUCGGAAUUACUGGGCGUAAAGCGUGCGCAGGCGGUUCGCUAAGACAGAUGUGAAAUCCCCCGGGCUUAACCUGGGAACUGCAUUUGUGACUGGCGGGCUAGAGUAUGGCAGAGGGGGGUAGAAUUCCACGUGUAGCAGUGAAAUGCGUAGAGAUGUGGAGGAAUACCGAUGGCGAAGGCAGCCCCCUGGGCCAAUACUGACGCUCAUGCACGAAAGCGUGGGGAGCAACAGG
rnacentral:rRNA from 1 species